AUGUUGUCUCCUACUGUAGGUGAUGCUCGUCCCACCCUGACGGUGCUGCCUCCCUCCAGGGAGGAGCUGCAGCAGGAAAAGGUCACGCUCACGUGUCUGGCCAACAAGGGCUUCCCCUCAGACUGGACUCUGUCCUGGAAGCUGGACGGCAGCGGCAGCAUCAGCAGCUCUGACCAGAGCAGGAGCCCUGGGGUUCUGGAGAAGGACGGACUCUACAGCUGGAGCAGCACCAUGAGGAUCCCUGCAGACCAGUGGACCAAGGUGAACUCUGUGACCUGUGAGGCCUCCCAGGGCUCCCAGUCUCCAGUCAGAGAGACUCUGAGCACAGACCAGUGCUCCCAGUAGAGCUGAUUUAGUGGUAAUCUACUGCUGGUUCUACUCUGCUACUCUCUGUCAUUGUUUUUCAUUCAUUUCUGUAAUAUUGCUGAUGCUGGAAGGCAAUAAAUAUUUUAUUCUUCAAAUACUUGGGCCAAAUAUUUUCAUUACAUGUCAUUUACCAAUGUUCUAUGGUAUCACAAUAAACAU